rnacentral:rRNA from 1 species
AGUGAACGCUGGCGGUAGGCCUAACACAUGCAAGUCGAACGGCAGCACAGUAAGAGCUUGCUCUUACGGGUGGCGAGUGGCGGACGGGUGAGGAAUACAUCGGAAUCUACUUUUUCGUGGGGGAUAACGUAGGGAAACUUACGCUAAUACCGCAUACGACCUACGGGUGAAAGCAGGGGAUCUUCGGACCUUGCGCGAUUGAAUGAGCCGAUGUCGGAUUAGCUAGUUGGCGGGGUAAAGGCCCACCAAGGCGACGAUCCGUAGCUGGUCUGAGAGGAUGAUCAGCCACACUGGAACUGAGACACGGUCCAGACUCCUACGGGAGGCAGCAGUGGGGAAUAUUGGACAAUGGGCGCAAGCCUGAUCCAGCCAUACCGCGUGGGUGAAGAAGGCCUUCGGGUUGUAAAGCCCUUUUGUUGGGAAAGAAAAGCAGCAGGUUAAUACCCCGCUGUUCUGACGGUACCCAAAGAAUAAGCAUCGGCUAACUUCGCG